GUAGGUGAACCUGCGGAGGGAUCAUUAACACGUGUAAAAACGUAUAAAAAAACCCUACCUAACAAACCAGCACCGUGAACUAUGUUAUAAUAUAUUUAUUAUUAUUAUACCUUUUUUUUUGUCUUAUAUGUUUUACUAGUAACAUAGUAAAAUAUGAUAGUUGAGAAAAAACAAACCCUUUUCCAACCUUUAUUUUUUUCUAUCUGUUUGUUAUAUAUAUGUUUCUUAAUUGAGACUUGUAUAUGAUAGC
rnacentral:misc_RNA from 1 species